rnacentral:lncRNA from 1 species
CUGAUUGAUAAAGCCGUCUGGCGAAACACAUCUCGGAGGAGGAGAAAGGACCACCCAAGACUGUGGACUGGUAACCUUAGCACUUUUGAGAUUUAUAUUUGAAUUGUUUAUUGUUUUAAAUAAGUGUAUUUUAAUGUGACCUUGAACCCAGCGGUCCAUUGCUGUUUACUGUUCCUACUACUAAAAAGGGAAGUGCUCCCCUUAAAGGUACGUAAACUGUUAUACCGAGAGCCUAGUAUAAUUGGCUCCCCACAAGUAAAUACUUGUCUCUACACUUUGUUCCUAUCAGCUAUUUUAGUAAUUCUGCACCAGGAUAUCCUGUUUCUUUUUUGUCUCCCUAUUUUGAUGACAAUCUGGCCAGGAUCCAGAGAGGGUUUGGUAUUACCUAAUAUACCUCCGCCUAAGAGAUUUGAGCCUAUCCCUAUGUGGCUCUAUACCAUGUGAGUGUGGUUCAUACUUUUCCACAUACCAAUCUGUUGGGCUUGAUAUACUUCACCAUUGUGUAUUGUUUUCUCUCUUUUAGAGAAUUUUGCCAUUAUACACUCUACCCAGAUUGUAUAGGGGUAAGUGCAAUCUGCUGUAGUGCUCCACUAAGUGGACUUUUUGGUGGUGUGUUCCACCGGGGACACUUGCUUGGUUCAAUUACUUGUGUGUAAUUUUGGAGGUAGUUACACAAGUUUUGAGCUGCUAUCCACACAUAUAUAUCUACUUUGUUUUAAUCACAAUGCGCCCUUAAUUGCACAGAACGCUUUUCUCUAUUUUUUAAACAGAAAAAAAAUAUCGGAUUGUCAGCUGAAUUAAAUAUUUUCAUUGUUUCAUUAUGUUUUUAAAAAUAAUAUACCUUUAACUUCUGAGUACCUUUCUGUGAUGCUCAGCUCUGGCGUCUCUGGCACUGAGGGUAUACCAGCUCCUGCACGCUAUCAUCAGUGGGUUUCUUUUAUUUCACCUGCACCACUAACGGCUAACUAAAAGCUAAAAGUCAGCUUUGAUAGUGUAUCCACUGGCAGUGCAGGAUAUACUGCAUUAAUAUCUGGUUACUAUAGGGUAUUCUAUCUACUCCACUUGCAAUACUCUAUAAGUAACUACUCUAUAGAGGACUAUAAAUAGCUAUGUACCUGGGAGACCUCAAGGAAGAGACAAAACAAGCUUCUUCUUAGUUCAGACAAUGACAGGUAACUUUAUCUUACAGGAACCAGGGUUUUUAAACACUCAGCACACAAUUUACAACUAUAAUUUUUGUUACAGUUUCCUUUUUGUGCCUGUCCACCCUGGCAACAAAGAGCUAUCUAGACCGGCAAGGCAGAUAUCUCAGCAUGACAAUCUCUAUCACAAUCUGGAACUCCGAGUUUCUUAACAGGCCACAGCACAGAGGGAAUGUAUUUACAAAUAUUUACACCACCAGCUCAAUGCCUUUAAACACAUGUUGACUUUGCCCUGAUUCUCUGGAUUUUCCCUAGGCCAUACAAUGCAGCUUAGAAUAUGACUAGCAUAUCAAAAUAAUACUAUAAAUAUGCCAUUUUGUCACACUUUCCAUCCUCAUGUUGACUAUAUAUUUUUCUAUUAUAUUAUUCAUACGGCAUGUUCACUAAUUUAUCUGAAAAGUGACCGAUAGAUCAACUUUUUCUGUCCUACUUGAUCAUUUAUGGUGUCCUUUGUUCAAUAGGUACUGGUGUAUCUUAUAUAACUGUCCUAGAGUUUGACACUGGUUGCUCCACUCACAGACCACUUUAUGAUGUUUAUAAUGAUGAUUCUGUGCACUGUACUGCUUCCUCUGGAGGCACUGGUCAGAUAUGUGUUCUGUUUUUCCUUGCCAUCAACAAUGGCAGCAUGGCAGGAGAUAUGCCAGCCUUAUUUUCUGCCCCCUCCCCCCCCCCUCCUGGGGCAGUUGAGAAGAUUUUUAAGCAUACAUAUAACUCUUGAUCGAAUUAGCCUAUUUUAAUAGUUUCAUUUAUAGACCCAUGGUAAAAUUUAUUACAUAAAGAAGAAUACUGCAGUUUGCUUCCAUUUGAAGUAAAAUUGUAUCUUUAAAAAAUUAUUUUUCGUUCAAAGCCAACAACAGGAAUUACGAAUGUUAUAUAAACUACAUCUGUUUGAACUCACCUCAACAUCAGUGUAAAUAAAUAUGUCCUCUAAUAGUUUGGAUUCAUCCCCAGCAGAUGCUCCUAUCACAAGUUUCAUACAAUAUGACCAAUUUGGGAGUAUUACGAUAAUCAAUCAUGCUGUCAUUGGCUUAAUGUACUUGGUAUUUAAAGAAGAUGUGUGAAUCUCUAGAGUGGUCAGAAAACACCAUAAUGCGUGUUUUCGUAGAUAAUUGCUUAGAUGAAAUAACUUUUUUUGCAUAUCUUGUCUUUUUUUCUUAAGUCUAAACUGCUUUUUGUGCUGAUUUAUUUUUCCAAACACUGUCAGUAAUGUUAUCUUUAAUAUCUAAGCACCUGUACUUAAAAAAAAAAAAAAAAAUUAAAAAAAAGGAAACUAAUUUCUGUAAAAUUCUGCCAACGUGGUGAUUACCUUGAACUCAUUUUGCUUUAGGUACAAACAUUAGCGAACAGUCAUCAAUAUUUUGUAUCAUCCUCUUCUUUGUUGUGCUUUAUGGGCUACAGAUGCCUGCACUGAUUAAAAGCAUAAAAAGGCCAUAGCCAUUUCUAGAGAACUUCCCAAAAAAUACAGUUUUAAAUUCAUAAUAAAAUACCAAUUUAAUAGUUAUUUUAAAAAAGCAGUUUUAGUUCUUUGGUAUUCAGUAGAAAUAAGAGCAGCUGUUGUAAUCGGGUAAUGACUUGGCACUGCUUUUUCUUAUGUAGAGAACUUUGUAAUAUAUACUUACAAUCAGUGUUGUACCUAAGUUAUCUGGCACUUGGGGGGGAGGAGGAUUUAUAUUGCCAACCUUCCCACACAUAUCUGCAAACUGUAGGAUUUGUUUUUGUAUUUUUGCAAUGCACCUAACACCCUUUUGUUAGGGAAAUUACAAAACACACUCACUUUUAUGUCCAUAUGCUAACACUCACAUACACACACACAUACACUUAUAUCACACACACACACACACACACACACACACACACACACACACACACACACACACGCAUAUAUACUUACAUCCAUACACUCACAUACACAUUUGUUUUUUAUUUAGAAUUGUAUUCCUCAAAUCUUGUGGUCUGCUACUAGUAUGUCUCUGCAUACUGAUUGCACAGCCACCUGCACCUCUGUUACACAAAAGUCUUUACUUAUAGUAAAGUGCUCUACCACCUCCAGAACAUCCAGAUCCAGAACCCCACCUUGGUAGGGGCACUGAAUAUUCAAACUCUCUCUCUCUCUCUUAACUUUUAUUUAGCUUUAUAAAUAAAAUGUCAACAUUUCAGUUUUUACACAAAACUUUCAUCUGGACAAUGCUUCACAAGACACAAAUAGUGACUAUAUACCUAUAAAAACAAUAAACAUCAAGUACUCACCUCCUUGUGCAAGUUAUGAAUGCCCAGAAGUUAUGAGUGAGCACCUCGAAGCCAUGAGCAUGCACCACAGUUUGCGACACCCCCACCAUUUGCAUUUCAGCCGGUUGCCCUAGCAACAAGAUGAUGGUAAACAAUCAAGGCAGUUGAGUUACACUGCCAAAAUACAAUUAAAAGCAAAGUAUUUUAUAAAUAUCAAAAAGUGCUAGCAAGCAUUAGCAGGAAGGGAGCAAGCACUAAAAGGGAGGGAGCCAUAAGGGUUACUGUAUUGGUGCUAAGCAUGUUACAAUGCAGCCAUGAGUAUAUGGAAGGAUGAAAUGUGUGCAGCUGGGUCAGAGGUCAGAGCCACACACCUAGCCAAGAUUUUUAAAGUUUCACUGCUGGCAAUAAAUACACUCUUCUAGUAGGGGGAGAAAACAGAUUCUAACAAAACAUAUAUUAGCCUACGAGGACCCCAGUCUUAGUAUAGAGGGUGCAAGCAGUAACUGGGUCACUUCAGAACUGAUACAUGACUCAGUAUAACACUUACAGCUACUAUAAAGCACAUGAUAACUAUAUAGUUAUUAUAGAACAAAGAAAUAUGAACAACUAAGUAAAGAUGCUGUGAGAUUACUGCAGCACAGGUGCAGGGCUCUGUAUAACACCUAAAGGACUCCAAAAUGGUUCCUCAAAUAAAAGGUGGAAAAAAACAAACAAAAAAAACAUAUGAAAUGUACAGACAGUCACAGUACAACUGGUGCAGGACUCACUAAAUAUCUUUCUAGGAAAUAUACAACAUACUGCACAACUUUUACAGGAUGAUAAAGUAAAAUAGAUAACUCAAGGCUCCAUAUAAGCAGCAUAGUUUACAUGCAAAAAAACAAAACAAAAGAAAGAAUAAAAAUAUUACUGCCUUAAUGUUGAACUUGAAAGGUAGAUAUAUAAUCUAAUUUCAUAAGUGAACUAUACCAAAAAGGGCAGGACAAAGUAUAAGGUCCAAUGACGCCCAAGCUUCAGCUUCCACACAGACGUCAUGACAUUUUCUCCCAGGAUUUCCUGAUACUUCUAUUAAUCCAUGUUGUCUUCCACAUGCUGCAGAUUUCUAGUUCAGAGAUUUCAAAGCAACCCCAGAGCAUCACUGAACUACCACCAUGCUUAACUGUAGGCAGAGUGUUCUUUUUGGCAUAUGCUUCAUUCUUCUCCUCCAGACAUACCGCUGAUCCAUUGGGCUGAAAAGUUCCAGUUUUCUUUCUUUCGUUUAUUUAUUUUCAUACCACAGAACAGAAACCCAAAACAUCUGUGGCUUAUUUAUAUGAUAUUGAGCAUAUUAAAGCAACUUUUCUUUGUUUUUGGGUUAGGUGCACAACUUAGAGUUCUGGCAUGUAAAUCUUCUGUGUUUAGUUUGUCUUACUGUGUUCACUGAAACCACAGUGCCUGUUACCAUCAUGCACUUAAGUGCCUCCAACUUAAGUGAGGAAGAAUUUUGGACUUUUAAACAGGACUGGUUUUAUAGUUUAUUAUUCACUUUUUACUUAUUGUAUUAAAGUAUAUAUAUUUUUUAAACUAUCCAGUCAUUCCUUUUGUCCUCCUUCCUAUCCAAUACUGCUUUGCUGCUAUACCUGGGUCCACUAUAUCCCAAGGUGGGGAUUAUUCCACCUGAAAUUCUUCAAACUAGAGCAGGUCGUUGCUCUAGUAUAUGUAAGUAGGAUCAUCCACUUUUUUUCACAAUAUUUUAUAUUUACGUACUAUACCAUGUGGUGUAUUUUACUCUUGUUUUUCAUGUAACGAAUAUUUACACCUAUAAAUUCACCAACGGUCUUGAACCUCAAGAAAUCCAUAGACGGGGAUUAUUCCGUCCAGGCUCUUAACACCGAGCUGAUAUAGCUCCUCAAAGUGUGAGUGUGAAUAUAACACCUUUGUUCUUGUGGAAUUAUAUCGUUCAUACAUACUGUACCAUUAUUUGUAUUUUUGUUUCUCUUUUUUUUUUAAGUUACUCUGCUGGCCAGUAUUUCUACAAAACGUAUGUACAUUUUCUGAUUUUUAGCGCUGUUCACUUUUCUAUUUUACAUGAUAAAAAAAGCCUGCACUUUCAGAUUUACAAAUCAGGGACCCCUUAAUGUAACUCUGCAUGGUUCCUGGCAUAGGGAGAACUUGUCCUGCUGCUUCUCCUUUGGAUCUCCCCCUACCACAUAACCUAAACACCCCCCACCAUCAGUGCAACACACAUAGGAAAAAAAAGUAGAAUGCCUUCUUUAAUGAUGCUGCAGCUGGGAUGAUGUUAAAUCUCAGCUUUCAGCUAUAGUACAGUGUGGUGAGGGAGCUGUGCACCAAGAGCAGUGCUCCCCCCUGCUGCCUGUCACUUGGCGGCAGAUCGCCCCUCCCCCUUUAUUAGUAUGCUGCUGUUUACAAUAUCUUUAAUUGUAUUUAAUAAAAUUAGGUCAUAUUAGCUUAGAGACAUCAAAAAAUAUUUCAUUGUAAUUUAUAUUUUUAUUACAUAUUUUGAAUACCUUCAUAAUGUUUUUAAAAAUAAAUAGAUCAAAUACUGCUUGAAGCAUAUAUUCAAUAUGUGUGUUAUUUAAAAUGCAACAUACUGACUCUUUUUAUCAGGGAAUUAAUAUUGGGUUUUUUUUAGUUAAAAAUAUUAAAUAAUCAUAACCUUAUACAUGCUAUUUUUUCAGCUGAUGAAAUUAAAGCAAGUACAUAACUAGCCAUCCUGCAAAACUGCCAGUAACAUUCAUCAGCAUGAUAUUUACUGUAAACAUUUCACGUAAUCACUUAAAGGGAAAUGUCACUUCCCAAUAACUGAGUAUGUGUCACAUUGGCUAUUUUAGUCCGCAUCUUGCAAUUUGGGUUUCAAUUCACUACAAUCCACUAUUUAGUAAAUAAACCUUAGCAUUCACAUUUACUUGUUCUCAUUUGCAUGAAUGCAAAUAUAGUCUGUAGAAACUGUCAGUGGGAUAUUGUUAAAAAAACACUAUUUGGUCAGGAACACAAUUAUGAAUUCAUGACCCUAUCUUAUCGUAUUAAAACCACCAUGUAGCCCCCCUGACCCCACUUGCAUCCCUUAAUAUAGUAAAAUCUUACUUGUAUUCAACCCUGCAGCUGCAGCUUCUUCCCCUAUGCUCUGACCUCCCUGAUGUCUGCUGACAUCAUCAGAAGUGGUGGUGUAAGCCAAUCACAAUGCUUCUCCAUAGGAUUAGCUGAGACUGUCAAGGAGGCAGAUUAGGGACAGAGCCAGCAAAAGUCAAACACAGCCAUGGCCAAUCACAAUAUCCUCAUAGAGGUGAAUUGAAUCAAUGUAUCUCUAUGAGAAAAGUGCAGUGUCUGCAUGCAGAGGGUGGCGACACUGAAUGGCAGUACUGCACUUCUUGUACCAAUCUGAGGAGUGGCCAGUGGAGUUAUCACUAUGCUAUAAUGUAAACACUGUAUUUUCUCUGAAAAUACGGUGUUUACUGCAAAACGCCUGAAGGGAGUGAUUCUACUAACAAGAACAAAUACAAUAAGCUGUAGUUGUUCUGGUGACUAAAGUGUCCCUUUAGAGGUAGACCGCUUGUUUUCCCAUCCCAUGUUUGUGAAUAAGGCCUUGAUUUAUUGAUUUGCCUUGAUUUUAUAUUUUUUGGAUAUGCUUUUUAAAUUAUUUAAUAUUUUCAAAUAAAUGUUUAAAAAUGAUGUAAUAUUUAGAAAAAUAUUUUAGUGUUUUGAUAUAUUGAUAGUUUUGUAUAUAUGAUAAAAAAAUUUGAUAUUUUAAUAUUUUGAAAAAAAUAUAUAUUUUAAAAGCAUACAGUUGCAAGAAAAAGUAUGUGAACCCUUUGGAAUGAUAUGGAUUUCUGCACAAAUUGGUCAUAAAAUGUGAAAAAGUCACAACAAUAGACAAUCACAGUCUGCUUAAACUAAGAACACACAAAGAAUGAAAUGUUGCCAUGUUUUUAUUGAACACACCAUGUAAACAUUCACAGUGCAGGUGGUAAAAGUAUGUGAACCCGUGGAUUUAAUAACUGGUUGAACCUCCUUUGGCAGCAAAAACUUCAACUAAACGUUUCCUGUAGUUGCAGAUCAGACGUGCACAACAGUCAGGAGUAAUUCUUGACCAUUCCUCUUUAAAGAACUGUUUCAGUUCAGCAAUAUUCUUGGGAUGUCUGGGGUGAAUCGCUUUCUUGAGGUCAUGCCACAGCAUCUCAAUCAGGUUGAGGUCAGGACUCUGACUGGGCCACUUCAGAAGGCGUAUUUUUUUCUGUUUAAGCCAUUCUGUUGUUGAUUUACUUCUAUGCUUUGGGUCAUUGUCAUGUUGCAACACCCAUCUUCUGUUGAGCUUCAGCUGGUAGACAGAUGGCCUUAAGUUCUCCCGCAAAAUGUCUUGAUAAACUUGGGAAUUCAUUUUUCCUUCAAUGAUAGCAAUCCAUCCAGGCCCUGAUGCAGCAAAGCAGCCCCAAACCAUGAUGCCCCCACCACCAUACUUCACAGUUGGGAUGAGGUUUUGAUGUUGGUGUGCUGUGCCUCUUUUUCACCACACAUAGUGUUGUGUGUUUCUUCCAAACAACUCAACUUUGGUUUCAUCUGUCCACAGAAUAUUUUGCUAGUACUGCUGUGGAACAGCCAGGUGCUCUUGUGCAAACUGUAAACAUGCAGCAAUGUUUUGUUUGGACAGCAGUGGCUUCCUCUGUGGUAUCCUCCCAUGAAAUCCAUUCUUGUUUAGUGUUUUACGUAUUGUAGAUUCGCUAACAGGGAUGUUAGCAUUUGCCAGUGACUUUUGUAAGUCUUUAGCUGACACUCUAGGAUUCUUCUUCACCUCAUUGAGCAGUCUGCGCUGUGCUCUUGCAGUCAUCUUUACAGGACGGCCACUCCUAGGGAGAGUAGCAGCAGUGCUGAACUUUCUCCAUUUAUAGACAAUUUGUCUUACCGUGGACUGAUGAACAGCAAGGCUUUUGGAGAUACUUUUAUAACCCUUUCCAGCUUUAUGCAAGUCAACAAUUCUUAACCGUAGGUCUUCUGAGAGCUCUUUUGUGUGAGGCAUCAUUCACAUCAGGCAAUGCUUCUUGUGAAAAGCAAACCCAGAACUGGUGUGUGUUUUUUUAUAGGGCAGGGCAGCUGUAACCAACACCUCCAAUCUCAUCUCAUUGAUUGGACUCCAGUUGGCUGACAUCUCACUCCAAUUAGCUCUUGGAGAUGUCAUUAGUCUAGGGGUUCACUUACUUUUUCCACCUGCACUGUGAAUGUUUACAUGGUGUGUUCAAUACAAACAUGGCAACAUUUCAUUCUUUGUGUGUUAUUAGUUUAAGCAGACUGUGAUUGUCUAUUGUUGUGACUUAGAUGAUGAUCAGAUCACAUUUUAUGACCAAUUUGUGCAGAAAUCCAUAUCAUUCCAAAGGGUUCACAUACUUUUUCUUGCAACUGUAUACAAAAAUAUUAAAUAAAGUUGGGGCUGGCAAGAACCUAAAACCAAAGGGGCUCUGGUUAAUGCUUUAAUUCCCUCUCUCGUUUUCAUAAUGUGCAUUAUGGUUUAAUAAUAAAGCAGAUCACACUAUUUACUAGGGCUUUUCUCUCAGUGGUUUGACCUUUAUCCUAACUGAAUAUUGAAAUAAAUAGAGCAGCUUAUAUUAUGUCAAAAAGCACAUAUUUGCAAAAAGGUUCCUUUUUACUGGUGUUGCUUAUUUUAUAUAACUUAUGUAAUAUCCUUCAUUCUAUAUUAUAUCUGAGCAAUCUAAAGUGUUCAUUUCUAAUUAUGAGCAGAUCUUAAUCAUACAGAAAUUGUUUGUUCAUUCUUGUUUUGCUUAAUUCAUUUCAACACUUUAAUUGCUCCCCGUACUAAAAAUAUUAUCAGUUAGUUUGUUGUUUCUUGCAUGAUAUGACAUGUAUCCUUGCUUUCAUGUGAUUUAUUCUUAAAUACCAUCUAAUCUGAAAUUAAUUGAUGUUUAUCACUUUAAAUUAUGUUGUUAGCAUUUGAAUUGUUGUUAUUUUUAACAGAUUUAAAUCUGGGAAAGAGAAGAUCAAAUGAGAAAAAAAUAUGCGUUUUGAUAUAUGUAGAUACUUUUUAUGGUGUAUGUGCUACUAGGCUUGGAGUUGACAGCUUUCACUACAACUAUAAGUAAUCUGUUAAAUUGUAGCUGUGUUACAACAUAAUUAUAAAGAAGUAUUUGCUGUUAACAAAUGGAGAUUUGGUAUCAGAUAUAACUGUAGGUGAAAGUUUAGGAUCCAGUGAUCAUCAGUCAGUGUGGUUUAAUAUAAGAACAGUGACUGAGUCACACCACACAAAAACAAAAGUUUUAGACUUUAGAAAAAUGGAAUUUUCAAAAAAUUAGAAUAUGUGUAGAGGAGUCAUUAUCAGACUGGAGCAAUUUAAAUGGAGUCCAAGAGAAAUGGGAUUAUUUAAAAGUUGCACUAUUGAAGGCAACAGAAAAUUGCAUUAGGCUUGUCAGUAAAGUAAAAAAUUCAAGAAACCAUUGUGGUACUCCGCAGAUGUGGCCAAAAUAGUUAAAAACAAAAAGUUAGCAUUUAGUAAUUAUAAAAAAACCCAGAGUGAGGAAGACAAAAUGAUCUAUAAGAUUAGGCAGAAAGAAGCUAAGCAAGUUAUACGAGUUUCCAAAUCACACACAGAAGAGAAAAUAGCACAGUCAGUAAAAAAGGGGGACAAAACUAUUUUAAAUACAUAAAUGAGAAAAGAAAAGUAAAACAAGGAUUAGUUAGAUUUAAAACAAAAGAAGGAAGGUAUGUAGAAGAGGAUAAGGGUCUAGCUGACUGCCUCAAUUAAUAUUUUUGUUCUGUAUUUACAGAUGAAAAUGAAGGAAAGGGACCUCAGUUAAGAAAAAGGAUAAAUGAGUCAUUUAUUACACGUGAGUUUACAGAGGAAGAGGUUCUAUUUCAACUGUCAAAAGUAAAGACAAAUAAGUCAAUGGGACCUGAUGGAAUACACCCAAAGCUAUUAAAAGAGCUUAGUGGUGUGCUAGCAAAACCAUUAACAGAUUUAUUUAACCAAUCAUUGUUAACAGGAGUAGUCCCAGAAGAUUGGAAGUUAGCGAAUGUUGUGCCCAUUUACAAGAAAGGUAAUAGGGAGGAGUCAGUCAACUAUAGGCCAGUAAGCCUUACUUCAGUAGUGGGGAAAGUGAUGGAAACCAUGUUAAAGGAUAGGAUUGUUGAACAUCUAAAAACACAUGGAUUUCAAGAUCAGAGACACCAUCGGUUUACUUCAGGGAAAUCAUGCCAAACUAAUUUUGUUGAUUUUUUUGAUUGGGUAACUAAAAUUAUAGAUCAGGGUCGUGCAGUAGACAUUGCUUACCUAGAUUUCAGUAAGGCUUUUGACACUGAAGGCUUAUCAAUAAACUGCAAUCUUUAAGUUUGGAUUCCAAUGUUGUAGAAUGGGUAAGGCAGUGGCUGAUUGAGAGGCAACAGAGGGUUGUAGUUAAUGGAAUAUAUUUGAAGCUUGGACUUAUCACCAGUGGGGUACCUCAGGGAUCUGUACUUGGACCCAUUCUCUUUAGUAAUUUUAUUAGUGAUAUUGCAGAAGGUCUUGAUGGUAAGAUAUGUCUUUUUGCUGAUGACACUAAGAUAUGUAACAGGGUUGAUGUUCCAGGAGGGAUAAGCCAAAUGGCAAAUGAUUUAGGUAAACUAGAAAAAUGGUUAGAAUUGUGGCAACUGACAUUUAAUGUGGAUAAGUGCAAGAUAAUGCAUUUUGGACGUAAAACCCCAAGGGCAGAGUACAGAAUAUUUGAUAGAGAAUAUUUCCUCAACAUCCGAGGAAAGGGAUUUAGGGGUGAUUAUUUCUGAUGACUUAAAGGUAGGCAGACAAUGUAAUAGAGCAGCAUGAAAUGCUAGCAGAAUGCUUGGUUGUAUAGGGAGAGGUAUUAGCAGUAGAAAGAGGGAAGUGCUCAUGCCAUUGUACAGAACACUGGUGAGACCUCACUUGGAGUAUUGUACAUAGUACUGGAGACCGUAUCUUCAGAAGGAUAUUGAUACCUUAGAUAGGGUUCAAAGAAGGGCUACUAAACGCGUUCAUGGAUUGCGGGAUAAAACUUACCAGGAAAGGUUAAAGGAUCUUAACAUGUAUAGCUUGGAGGAAAGACGGGACAGGGGAUAUGAUAGAAACAUUUAAAUACAUAAAGGGAAUCAACACAGUAAAGGUGGAGAUUAUAUUUAAAAGAAGAAAAACUACCACAACAAAAGGACAUAGUCUUAAAUUAGAGGGACAAAGGUUUAAAAAUAAUAUCAGGAAGUAUUACUUUACUGAGAGGGUAGUGGAUGGAUGGAAUAGCCUUCCAGCUGAAGUGGUAGAGGUUAACACAGUAAAGGAGUUUAAGCAUGCAUGGGAUAGGCAUAAGGCUAUCCUAACUAUAAGAUAAGGCGAGGGACUAAUGAAAGUAUUUAGAAAAUUGGGCAGACUAGAUGAGCCAAAUGGUUCUUAUCUGCCGUCACAUUCUACGUUUCUAUGUUUCUAUUUUUCGAUGAGCUUUUCAAAUGAUUAAAUAAUUUUGAUAAACAUUUAAAAUAUUCUUUUGGAAAAUUAAAAUAUCAAAAAUAUAUCAUAAAUAUAUCAAUAAAUAAAAAAAAUCUAAAUUCUGAAACAUUAUCCUAAAAUAUUAAAUCAAGACCUAUAUUUGAAAUAUUAAUUGGCUCUGUCAUUCAUUAUUCAUAAUUUAAAUCUUUAAACUCUCUACAAAUUCUGAUUUUGGAAAUAUUUGUCAAAUCCUAUCUUUUUUAUUUGUUUGUGUGCUUAUGCCCUGCAUUUGACAAAUUUGUAUUUAUUUGGUAUAAAAAAAUAACAUUAAUUGUAGAAGUGCACACAUUUUUAAAUUGGCCACCUGUGAAUUCCUCCAAAUUAUUUGUAUAAGCUAUGUCCUUAGCAUUGGCAGUCAAUAUAGAAAAAAACAGACAGGGAAAGGAGAAAUUAAGCUAUUGUGGACAUUUUUUAAACAGUUCUGAUGCAAAAAUUAUCUAAAGUGGGUCAAUCACCAUGGAAACUAGUGGAAGCAGCAAUGUGUCUAUAUCUCCUCCUAAUUUGCAAAGUCUGCCAUAGCUGUGCUAGGACUAGAUUGUAUUGGGAUUUUUAAUAGUUUAUAUCAUGGUAAAAUUGCAGAGACAUUGUGCAUUCUAUGGUUGUGAAAUCAGAGAAAAUACAAUUCAUGGGAUUAAGGGUGGCAUCCUUUAAUGUAUUGUCAUUUUAUUUCUUUAUCUAUAGUUGUAUUUGUUUAUUUAUGGGGCAGAUAUUUCUGCCUUUUCUUGUUAUGACAAAUUAAGCCUGACCAUGCCAUAUAUUAAGCCAUAUAUAAUUCUCCACUAAAAAACUAUAUCCUUCAUUAUUUCCAUUACGAGCCAUUACUAGAAGCAUACCUUGCAGUAAAUUCAAUAUUCUGUGUGUGUCUACAAACAGUUUGGUUAGAACUAGGAAACAUCAAUAAUGUUUGUAAUUGAAACAACCUUGACACAGAGAAAUAUAUUUUCUAUAAUGGCAGAUUUUGAUUAUGUUAGUUGAAUCCAUACCUACUGCAUCCUAUUGGUACUUCAAUCUAUUUUCUGUCUCACGCCUCCUAUUUCUUUCCUCUGUGUACCAGAUCUCUUUUCCCCUCAUUUCUCUCUGCUAAGCCAUUGUUGUAUCUUGGCUUGUCUUUUUCAUUAGUGCUGAAGCUUUUAAAACGGAUGAAAAAAAUACAGAAAUCUUGUAGGAGCUUAUUUCUAAAUUUGUUUCCGCAUAUGUGUAAAAUAGCUCCAUUAAUUCUCGUAUUCACAUUUCCCUUAAUGUAGUAUUAAUUGUGUCUCAUUCACACACUAUUGGGUACAUCCUGCAAAAAGUACUUAACACAUGAAAGAAUAAAGCGCUACAGUAAUUCUUGGCACUAAUAACUGCUUUCCAGGAAAGUAGCCCUCAUUAGAUCCUGGCGAAAUAACUUAUACCACCUGUGUGAAACAAUAAACUGAAAAUGAGUGUAAAGCGAUAGCUGUUUAUUGAAUUGAUUUACACCGAAUAAUUAAAGUGGCUCUGUCACUACAAUAGAAUUUCUCAGUAUUUCAUAAAGAGAAAAUUUUAUAAAAUACUCAUUUUGAUUGGCUUUGAAAUUCCAACACAAUCAAAACAUAUCAUAUGUGACAACGUUAGAACGACUUUAUCAUGUGGUCCAGCAUUAAACUUGACAAAAUCUAAGAAAAGUCAGAGCUUCUGCCAUCAUGUGUGUGACUAGCCACCAUUUCUAGUGUGUAAAUGUUGCAGAAGUUUUGUAAUGUUCUAAAUGGCAAAUGAAUUAUUAUAUCCUACUAACCAAAGUUGCUUAAUCAGAUGUGCGAGGUAGAAAAAUGUGGCUUUCUUUUGGCCUUAUUGCAUGAGAUGUGUCUCUAAUUCUUAAAACUAAGGAUAUGUAGCAAACUCCCUUAACUAGUGUUAGCAGAUCUAAAAAAGGAGUGUAUGUUAAAAACUUGUAUUGGAAAAAAUAUAUUUUCAGAAAAUAGCAGCUACUACACUGAAUGUGCAAACCUCCAAAAACACACAAAAAUGUGAAAACUAGAUGUAAAACAGUGGAGAGUUAUAUGCUUCUAAAGUGCAACCAAUGUGCACAAAAAUUGAUAACUUAACUGGAAUAGACCUUCUGUGAUGUACCAGCGACUAUACCUUUAAAAAAGAAAUAUGUGCAAAAUAGUGUAGAACAUUAAUAUAUAUAUAUGUUAAAACACAAAAUCUAAUAUGGAACACUAACAUUGUCCAGAGCUAAUCAACCUAGCUCUAACCUUUGGGUCCUUUUGGGCGACCUUUCACCUCUCUUGUAUCUGUUCUUUAAAUAGAUCCCUUUUUUUCAAUGGUAUAUAAGCUUUCAGCCUAAAUCCUGGAUCAGUUCUGGGACUUUGUGUGGUUAAGGACCACACCACCUUCUUUUAGAAGUGCAGUGUAACAAAGCUUCCUGUACUCCGGUUGGGUACCUCCGCCAACGGAUGCUCCUAGUGCUCACCGAGGACUCCAAGCACUCCACCAAACGCCAUCAGCACUGCAGUCCCCACAUCCAGUGUUACAGCUUGGCUGGGAACUUGCUGUCCUCUACCCACCCUGGACCUACUACAAGGCUCAAGGUUCCAGUGGGUGAACCUCUCCUCCAAGAGAGAGUAGCAGGAACAAGCUCUUAAAAGAGCUUAGUGAUUAUAAUCCCUGGGCAGUAUAGUGAUAUAGCAAUCCCCAGGGUAGAUGUAGCCUUUCCCCCUACACAUAAGGCGAGGCUCUAUGUUGAGGGUAAAACAGGAACUCAGCAGAUCUCAGUGUUUAUUGAACAGCUUGGUCUUUUAUACAGUUUUCCCUACAAGGUUACCACCCAGGUGGACCUUGUGGGGCACAGGAACACAGGAACAACAAGCCAAUAAAAACAUAGUUUUACAUUUAGUCACUCCCAUACACUGUACACAAUCCCUCCCCUCUGCCUGUGAUAUAAUUAACAAAAACAAUGGACUAACUCAAUUAAAGGACCACUAUAGUGCCAGGAAAACAUACUCGUUUUCCUGGCACUAUAGUGACCUGCUCUGGAAGGGGGAAAGGGGUUUAAACUUACCUUUUUCCAGCGCUGAGCGGGGAGCUCUCCUCCUCCGUUCUGCCCCGUCGGCUGAAUGCGCACGCGCGGCAAGAGCUGCGCGCGCAUUCAGCCGGUCGCAUAGGAAAGCAUUUACAAUGCUUUCCUAUGGACGCUGGCGUGCUCUCACUGUGAAAAUCACAGUGAGAAGCACGCAAGCGCCUCUAGUGGCCGUCAAUGAGACAGCCACUAGAGGAUUAGGGGGAAGGCUUAACCCAUUAAUAAACAUAGCAGUUUCUCUGAAACUGCUAUGUUUAUUAAAAAAUGGGUUAACCCUAGCUGGACCAGGCACCCAGACCACUUCAUUAAGCUGAAGUGGUCUGGGUGCCUAGAGUGGUCCUUUAAUUCUAAGCAGAAAAAACAUACAUUUUUACAACCCCCAAAAUACAACAUAUCCUCAGGUAAUAUAUUCCAACACACAUACAAAUGAAAAGGAGAGUUAUAUCAAUAUCAUAUUCUUUAAAGUAGAGUUCACAAAUCUAUGGUAAUGCAUUCCAAAUUGCGUUCCACUGCUGGUACAAUUACGUUUUUAAUCCUCAGUGUAUUUAAUUGUCCUCAAACAUAUUCCAACACACAUACAAAUGAAAAGGAGAUAUAUAUCAAUAUUAAAUUCUUUAAAAUAUGCAUUUAGGGGGGCGGAACCUGCUAGCCAACCAGACAUUUCUGCCUGCUCCAAAGCAAACCCUUCUAAUCCCACUAAUAUCAGCCAGCCUGAUCCUGAGACCUACUCCACACAGGCCCAAACCUGCAGAAGUUCCACAAGUAGAGGCACCUGACCCGAACCCGACUCAGGGGCAUCAGGAGACCCCAGAGCCUCUCCCACGGGACUCCUCAGAUGACUCAGCCCCAACCACCAAUCACCUGAAAGUCUUGCUGGCAGACAUACACAAUCUGUCUAAACUGGAGCAUUUUUGCAACAGAUCCAGACCAUCCAGCAGACCUUCACACAAAGGCUUGCAGCGUGGCUUGUGAUGUCAUACUCAGAUUUCUCACCAUUCAAGACAAAAUCCAGAUCAUGUCAGCGCUGAGGAGCAAGACACCCCUCGCUUUUGAAAGCUCCACGCUCACGUUCUAUCAAUUGCUUUCAAUGCGGUCACUGCCCAACUUCGCACUGCAAAUAAGGCUUAUAAGUGGGGAGCAAACUGCUCUGUGAUAGUAACCCACACUGGGACUUCUCACACUUUAUUAUCGAUGAAGGAGGUUUCGACGUUCCUACACAACAUAGGUGCAUUAUCAUUGACGAAAAUGUCAUGCUUACUCCUGCUUAUAUGUAUUAUGACUUUCUCUCAUGUUAUCAUUUAGAUGAACAUUUUAAAAGAAAAGGAUAGAAAAUAGAAUAUUUAUAAUAAAUUUUGCAGUGUACCUAUGCUGAUAUGGGAUACCUCUUUAUCGUAAUUAUAAAGUAAUAAUAGAUAAAAUUGGUAGAACUGCCGAAAACCGGAUAUGAUGCAAUGCGGCCUAACCCGGAAAUGAGGUUGCAUCAAACAAAGAACCAGAAAGAGGCUUGGAAUGCAAUUAAACCAGCUGGAAGACAUCAGAAUCAGCAGAAGGUAUACAAAUAGGACAGCAGGGACUGGGAAGUCUAUUACACCAGAUUGAAGAAGUCAACAAACGGAUGAUACAAAGACUUUACAUUGGUAUUUUAUAUUAAAUUAAUUUUGUUUUAAAUAUUAUAAUAAAGUGAUUUUUAAAUACCAUUACCUGAGUUCCUCCACUUCAAAAAGAAGGUGGUGUGGACCUUAAUCACACAAAGCCCCUGUACUGAGCCAAAACUUUUUUCAGCAUUCAAGACAGCACCCUGCUUAUCAUUUCCUUCUAAGUCAACAACACGGCCAUGUGGUUUUCAGAUUUUUAAACAAGAAAGUACUUUAAAGGGACAGGGGGUACAUGACACUCGAAUCACUUCAUUCUGUAGAAUCUAUUCAAAAACAGGACAAAACACAUAGAGUGGAAGAAAGAAGAUUUAAUCUAAGGCAAAUUAAAAGAUUUUUUACAGUAAGAACAAUAAGGAUGUAGAAUUCUAUGCCUGAGAGUCCAUACAGAUGUUUAAACAGCAAUUGAAUAUAUACUUUCAAAGCCAUAAUAUACUGGGAUACAAUUUUUAAUAUAUGAAGUAAUAGCUUCUUGAUCCAAGGAGACAUCUUACUGCCAUUCUAGGGUCAAGAACUAUUUAUUUCCUAGUUUGUUUCAAAAUUAGAAAUGCUUGAAACUGGGUUUUUUGCCUCUGUUGCAACUAUAUCUUUUUUUGUUAUAAUCCAAUGCAAAAUAAAAUAAUGUUCUAUCAUUAUGAAAAAAGAAGUGGCAGUGCCACUUUAAAGGAACACUUUAGUGAUAGGAAUACAAAAUACACUAAAUAUACACAAAAGAAUACACUAAAAUGUUCCUCUGCUUCCUCUCCCUCGUACCCUCCUCCCCCACCUGUGGCAAUCAAAGGGUUAAAUAACUGCUGAAUUCACUCAAGGUAUUCCAGCACCAAAGUCCCUCUGAUCUGGAUCCAUCUUCACCUCCUCAGAUAUCAUCUUUAAAGGGAUACUUAAUGCGCAUGCUUGGCAAUCGACAUUAGGCCUUCCCCAUUGAAUUAAUGCACUCUAAUUGGGAUUGAAAGAUGCUGGACAUCUUUAGGACAUCUAGCAAUAUUUCAUUGAGUCAAACUCCCUGAAACAGCAGGAAAUGCUCCUGGUUGUUGAGUAGAAGAUUGCAGGGUUAAGAGGAUAAGGACCACAUAAUGAGAUGAAGUCAUCUGGUUUCCCAUCAUAUCCCUUUAAACACCUCAAUUUAAAUAAAUUAAAUUUAGAUUUAAAUAAAAUCCUGCUACAUAUUUUUCUGAGAUGCUAAUCGUGUUUCUUAUUUUAAUUAGCACAAUAACUUGAAAUAAAGCUAAAAUCACACACACAAAAAAAAACAUUAUCUUGUAUUGUCAUGACUGCAUCAAGCUUAUGUUUGCACAAAACAAAAUCUUAUAUUUAUUAGAAUAAUGUGUUGUUUAGAGCAUCUGUGAAAGAAAAUGUGUACACUAAAAAGACGCGAGAAAACAAACAUACAAAAUACAAAACACAGUUGGAAAACUUCUCAGUAUUCAAGAAAUGUUACAUUUAAUUCAAACGUGCCAUGGCUUUGUAAUGGUUGCAUUUAUUCAGCUGGGGCUUGCUAUCAUUUUCUUCAGUAAUUCCAACAGAUAGAAUACAGUCAUUACAAGAGACUCACAUGAGUUUAAUGUUAGCCUUCUUAAGCUUAAGUUAUGUUUGAACAUUUUCUGCUCCUGGGGUGAUUGGAAAUAAUAGCAAAUGUAUCAUAUGCACAAUAGUUUUUUUUAUGACAGUUAAGAAAUCAUCCUCAAACAGAAUGUCUUCAUUACAAUCCAAUGAUGAUUUUGGUAUACCAAUAUAUUGCUAUCCUCCCCAGCACUCCUCAUCCAUCUUUUUUAAAUAAAGUCUGCUUCAAAGAAUGAAAACAGGGAAGUUAUAAUAGUAGCUUGGAGUUAUAGUUUUGCCUAAUAAGAUGUUAUGCUACUGGGAGACCUAGAUAUUUGUAAUAUAAAACAGAUCAUUCACAAUAGAAAAUGCCACUGUUGCAGCAGAAGGAUCUUAAACGUGCUUAUUAAACUAAUAUGGCUGGACUAUUGCUAUUUUUGUAAUGUAAUAAUGAUUCAUGAUAUUAUAUAUUAAACAAUAUUACAGUUUAGGCAAUCUCUGUUCAACAGAUUGCAUAAAAACUCAUAACUUUCUUAGCCAGUAACUCAAUAACUAUUACUAAGUAACUAAACAAUUUCUGGGCAGUUGGGUUGUAAUCAGGAUAGUACCCUAAUGACUUAUGCAGGAAAUUGUUGAUAAAUCAAUUAAUUCAUUCAUUCAUAUAAAUGAGCAAAAGAAAAGCAUUGCUUAUUAAAAUAUUACCUUGAAGCGAACCAUACAAAACCUAGACACACAAAUAAAAAAGGAGAUCUUACAAAAUGUAGCAGUAAUUUGUGUGUAUUUAUAUGUUUUCUAAUAUUUAUAAUUAAACAGUAAGUAUACAAACAAGAUACACAAUAUAAAUAAAGAACUAAUCAUGAAAUAAUCUAAAAAUGGAACUGAUUUAUCUUAAGUCUAGUUUGUUUAAGUUGGUAAAUAAACAAGAUUCAAACCAAGGUUAGAGUCUGACACGAAUGUUGGUGAAAUAAUAUCAAUCUAUUAUAGAGCACCUCCCAGAAUUUCAGUGCUGAUAACACCAUUAAAUGUUGCACUACAAUCGCAUCUUCUGUUGUACAAGAUGCAUACUUUCCUUUUCUUAUUGAAAUUCUUAGUUUCUGCCCACGGUUUGCAUUGUUUAUCUAGAAGGUUAAAGUUCAAAUAAAAAAAACAACUGAAAGUUGCAUCUAGUUAAAAUCUGUAACAACAUCAAUCGUAUAUAUCCUUUCUCUAUUUUUUCACAUAUGUGGUGGGUAAUCCAGUAAUGAGUAUAUGGGCGCAUGCUAUUUAGCCUUGAGUUAGAGAGCCUUAAAAACUAUUUAACAAAAUCCUCAGUUUAACUCCUUUAGCUAGUUCACAAGUGGUUUGGGGUUUGUUCCUUGUAUGCUUGAGCUGUACUAUUCUUCUCUUAUAUAUUACCUCAUAAAUUAUCCUGCACUUAAUCUAUUAAUUGAAGCAAACUGAUUUUGUAAGAGAUCCAUGCCCCAAGAAAUAUUAAACUCAUCGCCCUCACACGAAAGCAACACCAUCAUUAUUUUGUAGUUCCAGAGGCUUGUCUCAAGUCAUUAUUGUUAUUAUUAUGAUAUUUAUAGAGCGCCGUCAAAUUCCGCAGCGCUUUACAAUGGGUGGAAGAACAGACAUGUAGUUGUAACCAGACAAGUUGGACACACAGGAACAGAGGGGUUGAGGGCCCUGCUCAAUGAACUUACAUGCUAGAGGGAGUGGGGUAAAAUGAUACAAAAAGUUAAGGAUAGUAUUAGACUAGUGACAGUUGCAGAAGAGGAAUCAGUCAGGAGCUAUUAACAGUUUAAUUGAUACGCUUUUAUGAAGAAGUGGGUUUUUAAAGAUUUUUUGAAGGAGUGGAGACUGAGUGAACAUCUAAUGGAGGAGGGAAGCGAGUUCCACAGGAACGGUGCAGUCCUGGAAAAGUCUUGAAGGCGAGCAUCAGAAGUGGGAGUAUGGACAGAAGAUAGACGUAAGUCUUCAGCAGAUCGUAAGGGCCUAGACGGGACAUACUUGUGUAUAAGUGAGGAUAGAUAGGUGGGAGCAGCAUUAUGUAGAGAUUUGAAAGCAAGAGUCAGAAUUUUAAAUUGAACUCUAUAUUUUAUAGGAAGCCAAUGUAGGGACUGACAGAAGGGUGAGGCAUGGGAGGUGCGGGUGGACAGGAAAAUGAGCCUCGCCGCUGCAUUCAUUAUGGACUGUAAAGGCGCAAGUUGGGAGCACGUAAGUCAUGACAUAAGCUAGCUAUAUACCUAUAUGAACAAAACUUAUCGACUCUUCAAUGUUUGGAAUUAUAAUAUUUGAGGUACUCUAUAUAACACUUCCUAUGAAAACUAAAAUGUACGUUCAUGCAUAUUCUGAAUGCUUAAUUGUAAAUACAUGCAUUCCUAAUCAGUGUAAUUUUAAAAAAAAAAACUCACAAAAAGGUACACUCAGGAACAAAAUAACCGUGUCUAGGAGGCUCCAAGGAAGGGGGGGUGGGGGGGUGGGGAGGGAGGGGUUACCCAAGGUAAUUCAAUUAGAUUACAUAAUAGACAAAUAGGCCCGAAAAGGGCAUAUGAGUUAAACAAUGGAGAUCCCUCUAAUAUAAAAUAAUGGUAGACCAACUUUAGUAGAAUAUGCAACAAUUAGAAAAAUUAGAGUAAGAGACAAUACAUAUGCACAUUAAAAAGCCAUGAGACUGUAGUGCAUGGUAGGGGUUAAACACUGGGUUUAGAUUUAAGAAGGUACAUAUAAACCAAUCAUUUCACAGAAGAAAAAAAUCAGGUGAAUUGCUGUGAAAUGGUUGGUUCAUAUGUGCCUUAUUCAUUUUAUUUAAUAAUUUUUUUUUUUUUAUUUAAUACAUUAUUUUUUAUUUAAUAAAUUAUUUUCUGGCUAUCAAUGUAUUGCAAUUGUGUAUUUUUCAUUGAUGUUUAUUAUUUUAUAUUAUGUGACUAAUACAUUCUUAAAUAGGUUCAUAAAGCAUUCUGUUUGGAUCUGUUAAAUACAUAGAGUGCACUGUUUGGUGUGUUUGUAGAUUCACAGUUGUUCACAAUCUAAUGGUUCAUUUUCCAAUGAUGCCCAUGGAGGAUUAUCCCUCUGAGAGAGCAUAGUAAAUCUUAAUGCUAUCCUCCUCUGACUUCCUACUUUUUUUCUCUCCUAUAAUUUCCUUUCCGCGACCUUUUAUCAUCUACUUUAUCACUAAAUUUGAUUCCUGAAAUAUGAUAUAUAUUACACUGGCUGCACGUACAAUAUCUACAUUGUACUUCAUAUAUUAUAUAUCAUACUUGGGGAAUGUUUCCAGUAUGUCUUAUUGUUACGAGCUCUGGUAUUUCAGAUACCCAUUUGUACGCUUUCUCCUGAAGUGCUAGAGGCAGAGUGAUUAUAGCUUGCAGUUCCUAGGUCACAAUGACUCGGCAUAAAAUAUAAAAUAUAGAAAUUACAGAAUAAUACAUAAAUAACAUAUAGGAACCCCCAUAAAUGUUUUAUCCCUGGAUAGUUUGGAUCUGAGUGCCCAAGUUGGCCAAAUAGUGCUCAGAUCCCACAAACACAGCCGAAUCGCCAAAGGGGUAAAGUUUUGGCUGACCGCUCAUGAGGCUCCUGCACAAAACAGUUCCACAGUUUCAGGGGUAGCAGUCGGUCCAUUUCGGGGGUUCCAAACCGAACCAACACACGUAUUGUCCAUUCUCUAUAAGUGUCUUAUGAUUAAUCACCACAUUCUCUAGAUAACAAGAUUGUUUGCUACAAUAAUUAGGACUUAGGGAGAUUAUUUAUUCUUUGUAUUCCAGAUGGACGGCUAGAUAGUGAAUAGAAAAUCCUGCAGAAUAUGGAUUGGCUAUUUACAAUAUAUCAAAGUACAAUGUUUGUGAGGGCAAUUACAAUUUCAACACAUUUUGCAUUCAGCUUGUCCAUCCGUAUGUUCUUAGGCAACCAAGGAAAUUGGCAUCUUGAAUACAUGAUAAGCAUGCCACUGCUGUACCGUCAAUCAAAUGCAGUAUCCAUCUCUGCCAUUGAUUGACAUAGUAUAUAUUUGAGACAUGAGUGCAGAGAAGCUGAAAAGUAUAUCCUUUAAAUGUAAAAUCAAAAUAAUAAUAGCAUGAAAAGAGGGAGCAAUGGUAAAGAUUUAUUUUUUAGUUGUGUUGCAUUUUAAACAGCUUUAUAGUUGUGUUUGAAACUUUUUAACCAGAAGAACAUUGAAGGUUUCAUGAAAUUUUGUUUUUGUAAAUUUAUAAAUAUCCUUAAAUUCUAAAGAAUAGACUGGAUUUGCCUGGAUUCUUUGCCGGAAUUUUGGCAGAUUGGCAGGUAGUCCAAAUUCCAUAAAUCCUAAGAACCAUAUGAAUAUAUCAUUAAAAAAAUGACACGCACAAUGGCAGAAUGAGAUGAAUUUAGGUCAUUUGAAUUCUGACCAGAAUUAGCUUCAUUUAAAGGUCACAGAAAUGAGCAGUACUUUACUGCUCUACAUCUUGAUAAAACUUAACUGUGUGAUUAAAAUGUUGAUCUUAUAAAUAAAGCAGGAUGAUUUUCAUGAUAAAGACAUAUGAGUGCUCUCUUCAUUUGGUGAAUGCAUAGCUUGGUCGAAAUUUAAGCACAUAGGCCUUGCUAAAAGUAAGUAUUUAUGUAUUGAUCAGCCACAACAUGAAACCCAAUGACAGGUAAAAUUAAUAACAUUUGAUUUUAUUGUUACAAUGGCACUUGAUAAUGGGUGGGAUAUAUUAGGCAGCAAGUGAACAGUCAGUUUUUGAAUUUUAAUGUGUUGGAAGCAGGAAAAAUAGGCAAAUGAAAAAAUUUGAGUGACUUUGACAAGAGCCAAAUAGUGAUAUCUAGAUGACUUGGUCGAAGCAUCUCCCAAACAGUACUUUUGGGGGGUAAUGCAGUGGUUAGUACCUACCAAAAGUGGUGCAAGGAAAAAUAACCAGUGAACUGGUGUCAGGAUCAUGGGUGCCCAAGGCUCACUGAUGCACAUGGGGAAAGAUGGCUUGCCAGUCUGGUCCGAUCAUAUCAUACUGUAGCUCAAAAUGCUAAAAAAACAAACCUUUAUGCUGGCCAUUAUAGAAAGGUGUCAGAACAAAAAGUGCCUCACAGUUGGCUGUGCAUGGGGCUGCAUAGCCACAGAGAGUCAAAGUGCCCAUGAAGACCCUUCUCCACUAACAAAAGAGCCUUAAAUGGUGACAUGAGCAUCAGAAACUGAAUCAUGGAGCAGUGGAACAAGAUUGCCUGGACUGACAAAUCAUGUUUUCUUUUUGAUUCUGUGUAGGGGUGGAUACAUGUGCGUCAUUUACAUAAGGAAGAAAUGGCAGCAGGAUGCACAUUGGUAGAAGGUAGGACAGUGGAAGCAGUGUUUUGCUCUGGGCAAUGUUACUUUUAUAUUACUAUAUAGUUUGAUUAUUUAUCAUUAUUUAUGUCAGUGCCAUAUUGUACUUGUUUGCUUAUAUAUAGUGUUAUGCUCUGGGCAAUGUUCUGCUGAGAAACCUUGAGUCCUGGCAUUUAUGUGGAUAUUACUUUGACACAAACCACCUACCUAGAGAUUGUUGCAAACCACAAAAACCUCUUAAUGGCAAUGGUGUUCCCUGGUGGCAGUGGACUCUUGAGAAUGAUUAUGCACCACUGCAAAAGGUGUUCAGGAAUGGUUUGAGGAACAUGAUAAUGAGUUCAAGGUGUUGCCUUGCCCUUCAAUCUUAAUUCGAUUGAGCAUCUGUGGAAUGUGCUGGAACAGCAAACCUAUUCCACGCCACCUCGCAACUUGCAGGACUUAAAGGAUCUUCUGCUAAUGUCAUUGUGCCAGGUACCACAGGAAACAUUCAGAGGUCUUGUGGUGUCCAUGCAUCAAUGCACCAGAGCUGUUCUGGCAGCACCAGGGGGAUCUACAUGAUAUUAGACAGGUGGUUUCAAUGUUAUGGCUGAUCAGUAUAUACAUAUAUUAUUGUAUAUUAUGCUUUGUUUAGUACUGUGAUAGGUUUAUUUUUCACACCUUUUUCCAAAUAGUUUAAGUAUAAAAAUAUAGUUGUAUCAAGUUUGUUAGUAAAAUAUUAGAAACAUACAUUAAUUUAUUUUAUUUGUAAAAUAUUUUACCAUGAAAGAUACAUUGAGAUUUCUCUCAUUUUCAAUUAUGUCGUGGGUCCACAAAACAUUGCAUUGAUACAUUAUGGUACAAUAAAAUACAAAAACAAUAUUAAUACACAAUAUAUACAAAAUUUAACAUAGUACAGGUAGAAAAUAUAUAAUCAACCAUGACAGGUGCAUUCUGUUUUGAAGUAUGUAGAGAGGGAUCUCUUAAAGGACUUAGGCUUGGGGAAGAUUUUAAAGUAUGCAGGAGGUCGUUCCACAAUUGCAGCACUCUGUAGGAGAAGGAGGAUCGGGCUGCUUUCUUUUGUAUUGAGGUAGACUAAAUAAAGUGCUGGUACUAGAUCAGAUGUUAUAGGAGGUGGGAACAGCCGGGGAGAGCAUUCUGCUCAGCUAGGGUGGGAGCUUCCCAGAAAAGCUCUUAAACACAAGGCUGGAAAGAUGAAGGGUGCGUCUGGAUUCCAGCUACAGCCAGUUUAGUUCUUUUAGCAUGUCACAAUGGUGGGUCCUGUAAUUACAUCGUAGCACAAAUCGGCAGAACGAGUUAUACAAUGUAUUGAGUUUAUUAAUGUGGGAUUGCGGUGCAGAUGCAUACACUACAUCCCCAUAAUCAAUAAUUGGCAUCAGCAUUUUUUGUACAAUCUUUUCCUUUACUGUAGCGCUUAGGCAGGAUUUGUUUCUGUACAGGGCACCUAGUUUAGGAUAAAGUUUAGAUGCAAGUUUUUCUAUAUGUAGGCCAAAAGAUAGCUUGGGGUCUAACAACAUACCCAAGUAUUUGAAAGAGUGGACUGCGGUCAGUGUGCUAUUUUAAUUUGUUUUGAUGGAUAGGUUGGAAUUGUGUAAUUUGUGUAAUUUAGGUAAUGUUCCAAAGAUCAUUUGGACAGUUUUGUCAGUGUUUAGGAAGAGUUUGUUUUUUGCAAUCCACUUUUAUACCUCUGUGUCUUGGAGCACAGCCUCAAGCUGCGGUAGAUCGGAUUUGCUUGCAUAGAUUACGGUGUCAUCUGCAUACAUGUGUACAUUUUAGGAUUUGCAGACAUUAGGAAGAUCAUUUAUAAAUAAUGUAAAUAGUAGUGGGCCAAGAAUGGAACCUUGAAGAACACCACACGUGACUGGGAGAGGGAGGGAGUCACUGUCAGAAAUGGACACAUAUUGCGAGCAAUCUGGUACAUACUAUCAAAACCAGGUUAGCAGACAAUCACCAAUACCUGAGUUUUUGAGUUUGUGCAGUAGAAUGUUGUGGUCUACUGUGUCAAAUGCCUUUGCAAAAUCAAGGAAAAUAGUUCCAGUUAGGUCUCUGUGUUCUAUGCCAGUUUGGAUGUCAUUUCAAAUUUUUAAGAGGGCAGUUGUAGUGGAGUGAUUUAAUAAGUUAAGAGCAAUAUCUGUUCAUGUUUACCUUUGGCAGGGCCAACCUUAACAUUUUUGUGGAUUUCAGGACAAAAUACCCAAAGGGGCACCCUUUUCCAUCAGAGAUUAAAUAUAGUGUAGAAAUUGUUACAGAUAGUCAUAAAGAAAGAUCAGUUAUAUAUUAGAAAUCAACAAAUGUAUUUUCACACAUUAGUGGAUGAUAAAUGCAUUGUGGCUUUAAUUCUCAUGUUAAACCUUAAGGAAGAAAACACAUAGAAAAGUUUUACAUUUUCUCUAUUUAUCUUUCAACCUUGCUCUUAUUUCUUGGAUGCCUAGCUUUGUUAUAUAGAAACUAAAAAAUCAUUAUGCUGGAUUUAUUUAAUUGUUUAUAUUGUUUGUCUUUCUCGUGAAAAAUCAAUAAACUGUAAAUUGGAAAACCUUUAUGUUGGUUACUUUUGAGAACUGAUCUUGGGGAGUCCUGCUAAAGACCUUGAUGUAUUAAGUUAACAUUGUAAGUACUUCUCUCAUUGCUGUACUAACAAAUAUCCAGGAUUCUAGCGAUAUAGCAUGCAUUCCACAAUGAAUUCCCAUCAUAUUUCACAAAUAUUUGUAGAAAAUACUUUUCUUCUUUCAGUUUUAUCUUUUAUAUUAGAUUUUUGUUUGAAGACACAUUAAGUGUAAUGUAAUCAUUGUUCCUGCUUUGGAAAUAUACUCCAGUAGAUGUUGCCAAAUUAAUGUGCAAACAAAUUGGCACAUAAUUGUCAUUUAAUCUUAUAACUGUUCCAAAGGCAGUAGGUAGCAACGUAACUGCAUCAUUUAUUUGUAGAGAAUGAAGCAUUGCUGUUAGGCUAUAGCUUAUCAUGGCAUUUUUGUUUCUGGGCUAGGGAGCAGAAUAUUUUAAUUAGGACAGAAUUUUUCCAUGUAAAUUUGAUUAAAAUGUAUUGCAUAUUUAAAUCAGCAUCUACAGCUUAGAUCUAUGGCGAAUGCCUUUGCAUACAUUUUCUGGGGGCUAGUUAAAUGAUCCUUAACAUUACUGCAUAUCAUUAACAUUGAAGAUCAUAAACCCCUUUGAAAAGUAUGCUCUUUGGGUAUUUUAUUAUUUUAGAAGUCAGGAAUUUUCAUUGAAUAGGUGGAUUUUCCUGAGGACUUUAGUAGCUCCCAUAUUCUGCUUUUCAAAUAAGAUUUAGUUAAUUUACAAAUAUGUAACAUUACUGAAACAUCUACUGCAUUGAUGCAAUGGGAGAUCCCACUUGGAAAUGUUUAAAUUAAUCAAUAGACUUAUAUUUUAAUGGAAUUCAUCCCAAUUUUUGUGGUUGUCAGGUUGUACUAAUUCUGUUACUGUGACCGAAGCAGAGAACAACAGAAACAGGCAAUGGACAAGUGGGUUUGGUUGAUCAGUGAUUCCGAGUUCCAUCUGUGGCACCAUAAAAUUAAUUAAAUGAUUGUUAGGGGACAGCCACAAAAUCAAAUCAAAUAAAAUCAAAUAAAUAAUCAAAUCAAAUAAAUAAAUAUAUAUAUGAACCAGGUAUCAGCCGUACCAAAAGGUUAACAUUUGCAACCCAAUGCUCAAAAGUAACCAAAUGCUCAAAUGAAAGAAUGCUGGGUGAAUGUGUCCACAUUUAAAUGGUAAAAUAUAAUUCUAAUUAGUCAGAAUUCAGCAGGAAUUCAGUUGACUGAAUUUCGACUUGCUAGAAAUAAGAAUUACCAUAUAUACAUUUGCCAAAUAUUUUUUUCUGAAUCAUUUGCAUGAGCGAAAUGCAGAUGAGCUGUAAUGCCAUAUGGAUGAAUUUGUUAGCCCAAACUUAAUUUUUCCCCAAUACACAAGUCUAUUAUUCAAGGCAAAAAAAAAGGACUUGGAAACCAGGAAGCUCAAACCACUGUGCUGCGAAAUACAAAAGAAUUUAAAGAUCAAAUGAAAAAACUGAAGGUGAGGUAAAGAAAAAGUCACCCAUUACCCCUUUGGGACUCCAAAAAUAAACAAAAAAAUAAUGCCAGAAGAAUCAAGUGCUCCAAAUCCAAAAGCAAAAGUUUAUUCCACAAGGUACAUACACAAACAGGGGAAAACAACAGCCAAAGAAAAAUUUUCUUUACAUGCGUUGGACUACCCAGUCCAGCCCAUAGGAGUAUUAUUCAAGGCAAGUCACAUUGUGGUGAAUGCGUCUACUAAUUUUUUAUGCUAAAUGUGAUCCUGGUAUGCAGGCUGCAAUCAAAAUAACACUAGACACAGAGAAUGAUUUAGCAGUGAUUAAAAAGUCCAUGAGGUUGUUGCUUACAACAAACAUUCCCAGUAAAAUGUCUAUGAUGUAGCUCUGAAGGUGCCCAUCAAACUUGACCAACACUUUAAAAUGAUGCAGAGCACUUCCACAGUUAUCAUGUGACCAUAGUAUCAUGACCCAUGCUGUAAUAUUUCAUCCAACAAUGUGUUACUGAAUCUAAACCCAAAAUAUGGAAAUACUCUUGCUGAUAUGGUCCAAUAUUGGCAAAUUCAGAAAAAACUGGAGCUCUCAGUAUUGUUAGUGAGGAUAGAUUCAGGAUCAAGAUACACUAAAAAAUAGUCGUUCCUAUGCCUGGAGCCAGCAUUAUUAAAGAUGAAGCAGAGAAAGCUGGUUUAAGAGUUUCUAAGCUUUACAAUUCAAACAUCAAAAUGAAGACACCAAGGGAGCAUUGGUUUCGAUGACCUCUGAUGAUUAGCUAGCUAUGCUUUUAUUGCAGCACAUUUGAUGUUAUAAUAGUUAAAUCCUAUCCCUACUCUUUAAAGUGUAAUAUAUAAACUCUUUUCUAUUCUUCUCACAUUCGUUGCCAGGUAAAUCUGUUGAAAUAUUCCUGUUAACUAAAGUCCCUUCCAGUGUUCAUCAGAGAUCCUGAGAUUAAGAAUUACUUUGUUUUCAUUGGAAUUUCAACUAAAUAUCAUUAAAAUGCAUAACUUGAUGUGGGUAGUUAUUACUAUAUUUACUAAAACAUUGCAUAGUUAUAGAAAUUAAUAAAAAACUGUUUAGAAUAGUGUUCAAAAUAAUUUAUAAAGAGAAAACGAAAUUAAAAGGCUGUGUUGCUUUAACUACUGUACCAUUUUGUCUGGUAUUUUGUACCUCUUCUAAUAUGACUUGAAACUGGAUGAAAGCAAAUAAGUACCAUUAUCAUGAGUUUAUUUUAGUUUUCCAGAACCUGUUUUGUAAACUGAUCACUAAAGCAUUCUUUAAGGAGUUUUUUUAUGUUUAAAAUUGUUUCCAUUUUUCACUGCAUGGUACAUUCUACAAGAUAGAAUAUCCUACUGUUGCCUUGAUAGAUUCUCCUGGGAUUUGACCUUACACUUUGAUUUUACAUCUCUACGGUAAAUUGAUUUGUGUCUCUGUUUGCAUUUUGGAUUUGUGUUAUAUUUAGCGUUCAGCGUUCAGCGUUUUUAAUGUUCAGUUAUUUGUUGUUUCUGCCAAUUUGGGGCUUCAGGCUGUUAAACCAACUUGCUUCUAUAAACUGUUACUUAUGUUCCAGACCCGACUCGUGACCAUCGUGCUUACAAGUCCUUGCCAUGGCACUCAUCUGGUAUAGUUCAUUAUUAUUCAAGUAGUUCAUACCUCAUUGCAAUUUGAUAAAGUGUACAGAUAUGACCUUUCCUUAGGUAAAUUAAACCACUGGGAUAUAUCAUUUUGCAAAGGUAAAAUAUGUGUUAAAAUUUCCUGGCAGGAGUUCUUUCCAAGUAUAUGUGAUGCCAAUUGUAUAUACUUACCUUUUUCUUUUGCAAAAAUCUUGGCAGCCUCGGUCCCAUUAAUGUUUUACACCAUUAUUUUAAAGUUGACAUCUUUUCUGUAAUUGCUAUGGAUGCUAUCACCUCUGGUGUAAUUAAGGAAUGAUUACGUAAAGUGAAAUUAGCCAAGAUCAAACGUGUUCUAUGUCAAGUCCGGGAAGAUUCUAUCAAGUAACAUUGAUGAAAUACGGUCAUUCAGCAUAUUUAACCCCUUAAGGACCGAGGACGGUUUAGGACCAUCAUCUGCAUUUUUGCAUUGCCGACCGGUGACAGUCCUGAACUGUCCUAACGGUCUUAUGUACUUACCCGAAUGCAGUCAUUCCCCCCGGCGGUGAUCGGCGUUGCUCCCUUUGUGGGGAGACUGCCUGCAGCCCAGACAGUCUCCCCAUGGCGGAUUAGGACCCCUGGGGCCAUGUGAUCACUCAACACAGCGAUCACAUGGUCACAAUAGGUGUCCAUGUGUCUGCCUGCAGGGCGACUGUCUGUGCUCCCUGCUAGUGUAAAAUCCAAAAAAAGAAUAAAGGCUAAUGUUAAUAAAAAAAAUAAUUAUAUAUGUGUAUAUAAAUGUGAUAUAUAGACAUUUAUUAUAUCUAUAUAAUAUAUGUCUAUAUAUCAUAUAUAUAUAAUGUCGUGCUAAGUGUAUUUUUAUAUUAAUAUGUACAUAUAUUAAUAUAAAAAUACACUUAUAAUUAAAUUACACAUGUAUAUAUAUAAUAUAUAUAAUAACUAUAUAUAUUGUAUAUAUAUAUAUAUAUAUAUACAUAUAUAUAUAUAUAUAUAUAUUAUAAAAUACAAAUAAUAAGUAAUUUGAAUUAAAUUAAAAAAUGUAAAAAUAAUAAAACAAUUUAAAAAAAAAAAUUAUAUAUCUAUAUGAAAUUUUAUUCUAACUGUAUUUUGAUAUUAAUAUAUAUAUAUAUAUAUAUAUAUAUAUAUCAAAAUACACUUAGAAUGAAAUUGUAUAUAUAAAUAAAAAUAAAAUAAUACGAAAUAUACAUAUGUCCAUAUACAAAAUUACAUAAAUAAUUAUAUAAAUAUACACGUAGACUUCAAAUAUAUAAAUAUGCUUAUAUAUUUAAAUUCUAUGUGCAUAUUUAUGUAAUAUUUUUACAUAAUUGAGUAAUUUUAUUGAUUGCAAUUUGAGGGACCUGCCUGCCAACCCAGGCCAAAAGUCCAGAAAAUUUAAUUUGCCUGCACUGUAUUUUACCCUGUAACAUUCUACGACAGCCUAAAACCUGUACAUGGGGGGGGGGUACUGUUUUACUCGGGAGACUUGGCUGAACACAAAUAUUAGUGAUUCAAAACAGUAAAACAUAUCACAGCGAUGAUAUUGUCAGUGAAAGUGACUUUUUUUGAAUUUUUCACACACAAACAGCACUUUUACUGAUGAUAUAAUUGUGAUAUGUUUUCCAGUUUUGAAACACUGAUAUUUGUGUUCAGCAAAGUCUCCUGAGUAUAACAGUACCCCCCAUGUACAGGUUUUAUAGCGUUUUUGAAAGUUACAGGGUCAAAUAUAUGUGUCAAAUAUUUUUACAUUGAAAGUGGCCAGGUUGGUUACAUUGCCUUUGAGAGCGUAUGGUAGCCCAGGAAUGAGAAUUACCCCCAUGAUGGCAUACCAUUUGCAAAAGAAGACAACCCAAGGUAUUGCAAAUGGGGUAUGUCCAGCCUUUUUCAGUAACCACUUAGUCACAAACACUGGCCAAAAUAAGCGUUCAUUUAGUUUUUUACUUUUUUCACACACAAACAAAUAUGAACGCUAACGUUGGCCAGUGUUUGCGACUUAGUGGCUACUAAAAAAGUCUGGACAUACCCCAUAUUGAAUACCCUGGGUUGUCUACUUUAAAAAAAAUAUGUACAUGUGGGGUGUUAUUCAGAGAUUUAUGACAGAUAAUAGUGUUACAAUGUCACUAUUGAUAAAUUUUAAAAAUGUAUGUUUUGAAACUGCAAUAUCCUACUUGUACUUAUAGCCCUAUAACAUGCAAAAAAAUAGCAAAAAAGCAUGUAAACACUGGGUAUUUUUAAACUUAGGACAAAAUUUUGUAUCUAUUUAGCAGUUUUUUUUUUCAUUCGCUUUUGUAGAUGAGUAAAAGAUUUUUCAAGUAAAAGUCAAAAAACAUGUAUUUUUUUUCAAUUUGUCAUCAUAUUUUUUCAUUUGUUUUAAAUUAAAUUACAUGAGAUUAUAUAAAUAAUGGUAUGUAAAGAAAGCCCAUUUUGUCCUGAAAAAAAAAAAUAUAUAAUUUUUUAUGGGAACAGCAAAUGAGAGAGCUAAAAAAUUACAGCUAAACACAAACACCACAAAAGUGUAAAAAGAUGCCUGGUCGCAAAUGUACAACAUCCAAAAACAGUCCGGUCCUUAAGGGGUUAAGUAACAACAUUUUGUUAUUAUUGCAGAGCAAAGUUAACAUAAUAAAAGGUUAAAAAAGUAAUAUCUUAAAUAUGAAUAUUACUAACUUAAAUUAAGUGUGUAUUAUGUUAAAAUUAUGCUUAUUAUUUUUAGAUUACUGUAAAUUAAUAUAAUUUGUCUAACAUAUGUUUACGAGGUAAAAAUAAAUAAGUAAAGAUUAGUCAGAAGCUUUAGAAACUCGCCUUUCUGUCAUUUAUUUCUUUAAUUCAUUUUGAGAAAAAAAAAGUACAAUUACAAAUUACUUUAUUAGUGCAGUGUAUUGACUAACUCUUGUUCUUUUCAUUAGGAAGCACCUAACUGGCUAUCCAUCAAACUGUAAUUAUGCCAAUCAAGAGGCUAUUAGAAACGUCAGUCACAUUAGUCUGAAACAUUACUGGUCUGUUCACUAAGCAGUGAAUUGUGAUGCUGGAGCACCGGUUAGCAAAAUAAGAUGACUAGCAAAAUUACAUUGUCUCAAUGGACAGAUAAUGUUUUCAAUUCCUUCCGGACAUAGAAACAAGCCCUAUUGGACGGUGCCACUGACACUGUACAUGCGCAGCACCUAUGCUCAGAGCAGAAAUGGGACAAACUUGUCCAGCGUCCUCGAGAUUGUUGAGUUGUUCUGGACAACAUCCUCUACUCUAUUACUAACCUGCUCGAAGAGAGACUGCUCGAACCAGAGUCUCUCUCUCAAUCUUCAAAACCCCUUUUCCCAGCUUGUUUGGAAGAGAGGACGGAAGGAAGGAAGAUAGGAAUAAAGAGAGGAAGGAAGAAACUAAGGAAGAGAGGAAGGAAGGAAGGAAGGAAGAGAGAAAGAAUUGCUAGCAUCAUCUUUCUCUAUACUUAAAGUGACAUUCAUUCAUUUCAAGGUGGAGCAAUGUAUUUUUUAAAAUAAACUCAAUAUGAAUCCCACCUAUUUAUUUUCAGUAUGGUUAAGUAACAGUAUUGUGGUAUUUAACAGCAUUUUUGAUACAUAGUAGCUUGUGCAAUCCUCCUAGUGUCCUUAGGGGUCUAUUUAUCAAGUCACUUUGACUUAGACUAAUGCUUGCAAAGUGAUUUACAAAGCCUCUUAACAUCAAAGAUUGUGGACCUUGUCAUUGAUUUUUCUCUACUUCUAUUGAUAAGUUAAAGAAAGAGUAAAGAGCACACAGGCUGACAAGUGAAGUAAUAUAUCAAUGAAUCAAUAUUACAACACCCUAUUCUAAUCACGUUAACAGAUGCAAUAAUCUAAACAUCUGUAUUUAAGACUUUGUAUGUGUUUUCCUACAUAGGGUAACACAAGAGAUACAAACAGCAAUAGCAAUUCAGGGAAAAUAUAUUACAGUGGUAUAAAGAUAGCCCUCUGCAUUAUUUAUUAGAAUGGGGCUGCAUGAAAGUCUAUCCAAACUAGUACAACAGAAGACAAUAAACUGCAUUAACUGUGCUGCUGUGUUGGAUGGGGUAAAGUCUGGUAGGUAGAGUCAUAGAAAGAAGAAAAUUAAUAAUAAUAAUAAUCUAAUCAAUAAUGAACUCCUUGAUGAAUUAUUUUUCUAUGGGGGUUUGUUUUAACUAAUAUGAAGAUUAUUUUUAGAAAAAUCUAAAUGACAACUGUUUUCAACUUUAAAUGAAUAAAAGAGAAUUAAAUCUAAUUUAAUUAUUAAAUCAUGUUUAAGCCAUAUAGGAGCUUGUUGGUAUUUCUUACUAUUAAAUUGGUAAGAGCUAAAAUGGAAGUCGCAAUCAUUGGUGCUUACCAACAUAUUUCAUUGUCCAAAAUGAAAUGUUUACUGGUAGCAGCAUGUUUUUUUCCAUCUCCCAUUGAUAUGAAUAGCACCAAAUAAAACAAUGUAGCAUCUGAUUUCCAUGGUAAAUGAAAAACAUUAACACCACAUUGAAUAACAUUGUUAUCGCACUACACGUUACAUUUAGAGCUCAGUUGGAUAUAAUAUAAGAGAAAAUGCCAACCAACCUGUCAAUAUAAAUUAGUUAAAAAUGUACAUAUAAUGUCUAUGUGAGCACUGCAGCGUAACUGUGAGCUUUGUGUGGACAUGUAUCACGUUUUCAAUACAUUUCUGAGACAUUUUACAAAUCAGUUGUAUGCAAAAACAAUAGAAAAUCUGCUUUGUAAACUCAUGACAGUCAUAUAUAAAGUAUUAUUAAAAUAAAUUCUUACGAUGAAAAUUUUCUCUCUCAAUGUCAAAGGCCUCAACAGCCCAUACAAAAGAAGACAAGCUCUAAAAGAUAUGCACAACUCCAAUGCUGCUAUAGUAUGCCUCCAAGAAACUCAUUUUUGUAAAAAGAACCCUCCUAAUCUACGAUCCUCCAAAUACCCCUUAGCUUAUCAUGCUUAUGCGCCAAACAAAUCCAAAGGUGUAGCCAUCCUACUACAUGCAGACUGGGUAUUCACCCCUACUAACCAACAUGUUGACCCAAAUGGGAGAUUACUAAUCAUAGUGGGAGACCUCAACGGGAUUCAAGUGACGAUAGCAUCAUUAUAUGCACCAAAUGAGGCUCAAUUCUCCUUUCUCAACAAAGCCAUAAAAAAAUCUCCUCACUAAAACAAGGACAUGUUAUAAUUUGCGGUGACUGCAACUGUACACUAGACCCUACAUUAGAUGUUCAACGUGCCAACGAUAAAAAGCCUAACAAACUAACCAUCCACAACAGCAAAUCAUUCUCCAAUCUCAUUUUUUCGCAUGAUCUCUAUGAUACAUGGAGAAACCUAUUCCCAGCUGCUAAGGACUUCACUUACUUCUCCCCGGUCCACUUAACAUAUACACGAAUAGAUAUCUGCUUGAUAGAUAAAUCCACAUUGCCUCAUCUUUUAGACCAGAUGAUAGGGACCAGAACAUGGUCAGAUCAUGCCCCAAUAACUAUCACAAUAGCAGUGCCUUACCCAACGAGAGGCCGAGGCAAAUGGAGAUUAAACAAAUCCAUUCUUGACACACCUUCAAAUUUAGAAAAGACUGCCCGCGAACUGCAAAACUAUUUCGAAAUCAACACAACAAAUGAUACAUCAAUAGAAAACCAAUGGCUCGCUCAUAAAGCGGUGAUCAGAGGUGAAUUUAUCAAAAUAGGAUCAAUCAACAAGAAGAAAUCUCAUAACCUACAACGAAAGUUGCUUCAGAAACUCACGGAGCUGGAAAACGUCAACAAAUUAACCCCUUCCCGUACCAUGACGAAACAAAUAACGGAAACGCGUGACGAGAUACUAAAAAUUAAAGUCAAAGAAUUCACCACCAACGCAGCUAGACUUCAACGUCACUAUUAUGGCAUGGGCAAUAAGGCCGGAAAAUUGCUAGCAAACCAACUGAAAUCCAAAUAUCUUCAAACGAAAAUCCCAUAUAUUCUCUCAAAAUCACAGAUAAAAAUAUACAAUCCUACCGACAUAGUGAAUGAACUAGCAUCUUUCUAUGAGGAACUAUACAACCUAGACGCAAACGAGAACACGCACACUCCAGACAAAACAGACAUUCUAACUUACCUAGAAAAAAUACAACUGCCAAAAAUCUCACAACAACAAAAUGACACACUCACUGCCCCGUUCACGGAAUCAGAAGUAGCUGCGGCUAUUAAAUCUCUCCCCAGGCACAAAGCCCCAGGCCCAGACGGUCUCCCGAAUUACUAUUAUCUCAAAUUAGAACCAUACCUUUCCCCGCACAUAACCAAACUUUUUAAUAAAAUAAAAGAAACUGGCCACUUCCCUAGAACUAUGCUGGAAGCGUACAUCAUUACCCUACCCAAGCCAAAUAAACCACCCACUACCUGUGGCAAUCUAAGACCAAUUUCGCUAUUAAAUGCCGAUGUGAAGCUCUAUGCCAAACUUAUAGCCACAAGAUUGAAACCCUUGCUGUCUACCUUGGUCUCGGAAGAACAAGCAGGCUUCGUGCCUGGCAAGCAAGUGGGAGACAACACCAGAUUUUGCAUGGACCUCAUCGACUGGGCAACUCGCCAACGUAUGUCCGGGGUCUUAAUGGCCUUGGACGCAGAAAAGGCUUUCGAUCGCCUAAAUUGGACGUACAUGGAAACUGUCCUACAAGCUUAUGGAUUCUCGGAAUCCUUCAUCACAAGCAUUCUGGCCCUUUACUCCGCGCCAUCGGCGAAAGUACUGAACUCAGGAUUCCUAUCUAAAAGCUUUGACAUCUCCAAUGGUACGAGACAAGGGUGUCCCCUAUCCCCCCUCAUAUUUAUCUUAUGUUUAGAGCCUCUCAUUCGAACAAUCAAACAAGACCCCUUACUGCCAGGCUUUACCACACCAGCAGGGGAAAAGAAGCUUGCUUUAUUUGCAGACGAUGUUAUUCUUUUUUUAGCAAAUCCUAGAUGUGCCAUUCCCCAUCUCAUGUAUACUCUUGCCUCAUAUGGUAACUUGUCAUUUUAUAAAAAUAACAUCAGCAAAACACAAAUACUCCCUCUGAACCUCGAACCCCAGGUCACAACCGAUUUGAAAUUACAAUUCCCCUUUGAUUGGCGCAAGACUUCCGUUACAUAUUUAGGCAUCAAACUUACGCUAUCACACUCUCAAACUAUAAAAGAAAAUCAUGAGGCAGUCCUACUGAAAAUAUCCAACCAAUUGAAAUCCUGGGAUAAUUUGAACACUUCUUGGAUAGGAAGAGUGAAUUCGGUUAAAAUGAUGGCACUCCCUCAUAUUCUAUAUCUUUUUAGAACACUGCCCAUUACUCUUCCCAAAUCAAUUCUUACGAAAUUCCAAUCAACUAUCAACGCACAUAUUUGGAAAAGAAAACCUCCGAGAGUCGCUACUCACUCCCUAUGGAACCCCAUCCAUCAGGGUGGCCUGAGCGUUCCCAAUAUCACAAACUACUACAAAGCAUCCACGCUAGCACAGAGCCUGGACAUUAUGUCAGAGAAAACCAGCCCGAUUUGGCUUAAACUUGAACAAGCAUGUAGCCAACUCCAUUCCCUAUCUGACACUAUGUGGGCUACAAAAAAGAAAAGCCCUACCCACCCACCAUUGCCAUGCACAAAAUUUCUUCUGAACUCUUGGAAAGCAUGGAGCUCGAACCUCUGUUCCAAUCAAGAAUUUCUCUAUUUGGCACCAUUACGAGUCCUGUCUAUAAUAUCACCAGACUUGUCGAUAAUGCACUGGCAUCACCAAGGCUUAACCCAUGUUUACUCCCUGUAUAACUCCAAGGGCCUUCGCACAUUCCCUGACUUACAAGUCUCUCACAACCUACCACAUAGGGAUAUCUUCCUCUACAUGAGAGUCAAGCAUAUAUUGCACACUGCAAAUAUUAAAUAUCAAGACCCAUCAACACUUAGCUCAAUAGGCAACACUUGCUAUAACAUAAGCACAACUCGUAACCCGCCGAAAUUCCUCUCAUUGUGCUACCUAGCCCAAUUAAACAAGUCCAAGGAAACUAAAUUACCUUAUAUGCUAAACUGGGAAAAAGACUUGGGUACAGAGUUCCAUUUCAAGGACUGGCUUUCUGCGAUAGCAACUACCAAAAAAUCCACCAAAUGUGUUAAUCUAUGGGAAGCAUACUUUAAGGUACUAAUGAGAUGGUACUUAGUGCCCGAUAGGCUGAGCAAAAUAUACCCAACGGCUGCUCCUACAUGCUGGAGGUGCAAUAGGGGAAGGGGCACUAUAUUACACAUUUUCUGGGAAUGCCCACACCUGGGUACUUUUUGGACCUACGUGAAGAACGUCAUACACUCUAUCUCCGGGCUACAACUCUCCCUACGUCCUGACUUUUACUUGCUUCAUCUAAUACCGAACAUGAACCAACUCCCUUCGACGGCAGCUGUACUUAAUACUCUGAUUGCGGCAAAAUUAUGCAUUGCGUCUCAUUGGAAGAGUGACUUUAUCCCAUCAGCAAAAGAACUGCUUAACAGAAUAAACACUACGUAUUGCUAUGAAAAGGAAUGGGCAAUAAAAGGGAACAUGACCAAAUUCGACGGACAAUGGGAAGGAUGGGAAACCACGUACAAACACCGCAUCGACUCGGAAUAAAUUCCGCCUCUAGGAUGGAAGGCUUUCUCACACUACAUUUAAGGUCGCUCGGAUGUGAGGGUCUCAUUUCUCAUGUCCCCUGCCUCUUGCCUCUUGUCUCUUUCGCUCCUCUCCUCUCCCCCUCCUCUCCUUUCUCUACUCUCUCCUUUACUCCCCUGUCCCUCUACCUCGCCUUCCCCGCCCCCCUUCCUUCACAUCUCACCCUUGUCCAUCAUCUACCCUCUACCUCUUCUACAUCAACUCCUCAAACACUCCUAAAUGACUAAUCUAAAGGGCCAUCGACUAAGCAAAUGCACAACGGAUGGCGUGAUUCUGUGGCCGGAUUGACAGACCUCACGCGUAUAUAUGAUAUUCACCAGAACACACCAGUAGGCAAUACUUUAGUCAAACUACUUAAAUCUAAAACAUGGAAUGUCAGGAGACAAAUUCCCCUAUCAGAGGCUCCCUCCCACCUUCUUUAAGACCACAAAGCCAAUAUUAACACAUAUUGAACCAGGCACAGUAAACUAAGUACAGCUCUGACCUCUCCGCAGCUCCUGACCUGGUCUACCACCCCAGCAUACAGACGCUCAUUUACCACCACUAGGAGAAUCACACGCACUCGAGCAAGAGCCAUUAACAUUAAUCAACGGUCCCUCUAACGCCUGCAACUCAACGCAAUUUAGCGUCAUAGGACCUUAAAGGUGAUAUAUAUGUCAUCCUGAACGUGCUUAAGCAUGUUGGAUCAGUCUAUUCCACUCUAGUCCUGCCAUGUCCGAAUCAUUGCUGAAAAAACCCGAAGAUGUUAUGAUGUUCUCUUUAUGUAUAUUAGAUAACAUGUAUGAAUAUUAUGUACACAUGCAUUUAACUACUGUAUGGUCAUUAUACUAAAAACGCUGAUUGCAUAAUGCCUGCAUGUAUGUACAACCCACCAGGUAAAUGCUCCUGCAAUGUGUGAAAUGUACAAAAUCCAAUCCGUCUGUAACCCCCCCAACCCCCCCCCCCCCCCUUUUUUUCUACUUUCUGUAUCCCCA